UAGUAGAUUACUUUUUUUUAUCAGCUCUUUAUAUCGAAUGUAUACUGCGUAGAUACACACAUUCAUGCAAGGCAAUUUAUUUUAUUGCCGCUUGUCGUCGCUGAACGUAAGGGUUCCCUGUACCCAGCAAUCAGGUUUUAGGUGCAAGUAAAUAGACAAUAAUUCUUGGGAAAGCAGAGCCAGACGGCAGGGGCAGAAAGCGAGAUAAUUACAGUUUUGGUGGCUAAAAAUGAUAAAAAUACAGAGACGACAACAAUAAAAAUGCGCAAAAGUGAAUGAACGCACACACCGGCACACAAAAAUAUCUUUAUUGUAUGUAUGCAUACAUACAAUGUAUGUAUCCACAUACAAGUUAAAAACAUGCCGUUACUUAUGGCGAAUGACGAGGCGCAGAAGACUGAGAAAGAGAGGGAGUGACGGGAGGGGAGGCGUUCGCUUGGCGCUGAGUGCGCGUUGAGUGCAAUUUAGGUGCAGCUGCACCGAGUCGAACGUAGGCGCACAGUGGAACCCGUUGAAGCGCAAAAAGUGGCAUCAAGGGGUUGAUAAGAGGAAAAUAGCGAGAGCGCUUCCCCUAGUCUAGUGCAAGCUGAGGACAAUUCUCAUAUUCGUAUGUGGCUUAAGCAUAUCAAAGGUGGGAAUGAUUCAGGUUGGUCUGGGAACCUGGAGUGCACCUGGAAUCCCUCUCUAAUGAGUCACAACUCAUGACGCGACAACGUUGAGGGCUUAGGAAAGCAACAUGAUUAUUAUGAUAUUUAUGCUUAUAGCACACGAACACACUCACCCUCCCCGAAACAAAGACUCACCUAAUACUUUUUGCAAUAAAAGAAUAUGAUGAUUACAA